GCGCGGGGCGUGGGCGCGGCACCUGGGCCCGGGCACCGCCACCUAGGCCCUAGCUCCGACCAGUGGUGUUCUAUAAACGCUUAUUACAUCAUUGUGCAUAGGCUUCAUUUUUAAAAGUACUCCCAAAUAAAUACAAGGAGGCGAUGGAAAUUGAAUGAAGAUUCGAAGGAUUCCCAUAGAGCGUGGCUCACUUCCCCUCACCGGGACAGCGAGCGGCGGCUCACCUGGGAGAGCAAAGCGUGGCUCUCCUGCGCCCACCCGGGAGAGCAAACAAUGGCUCACCUGCGCCCACCCGGGAGAGCAAGCGUGGCUCACCUGCGCCCACUCGGGAAAGCCAGCCGCCAUCCUGUGCUGCAGGCAGGGAGCGGGCGGCGGGAGAGGAGCGGAUCCACUUAGGUCAGCGGUUAAAACGUCGUUACAAGAGGCCACCCCGGCAUCGCGGGGCCUGUGGCUGCGCCCCCUCUUGAAUUCAGGCCUAGCACAUCACCUCCGCCCCUCGCACCCUGCAGUCUGCGCUCCAUACAGCACGUGAGCGGGUGCUCAGCAAUGUUCCCUGGCUGAAAGAACCGCAUAGAGUAGCAUGCAAAAAUGACAUGCAUGUUUAAGAUAAAAUAAGGGAGAGGACACCUGUUCUGACUGAGUCUGGCAACUCAGAUCUCCCCGCAGCCAACAUCUACAUUCCUUUGGACAGCUGUCUGCUGUGUAGGGACACCUCCCUGGAACUUUGAAAAGCACCCCAUCAUUACCUUCCACUUUGUUCUGGAGCAAGGUUUCAAAAGAAGAGUGCCGUAUUUUGAUUAAUUUAGUGAAUUGGAUUUUCAGACACAAGUAAGAGCAUCCACUCAGUGGCCUCUGCAGUAAAUAAUGAUAUCAGAUCACAUAACAAGAAGACUGGAGGUUGGCGGGAAAUCUGGACCUGGUGACUCAAAGAAGUCAUGAAGGACCAUCUCUCCAUUCUGCCACCUUCUCGCCUGUGGAUUUUCCUCCCCAGGCUUGUCACUUCAUUGUCGAGAGAUGCCCUCACAAUCCAAGCCAGGCAGCCUCACAUGACCAGAUCUAAAACACAAAGAGGGAGCCAAACUGAGAAAGGACCUUUUCCCUCUGAACACUUCUCUCUUGGAAAAAGAAAAUGUUUCCCAGAAAGCCUCAUAGCCUUCCUCUUAUAUCUCCUUGACUAACUGGGACCCGGAUCCCUGGAUAUCCUUUCCUGAGAAAGAGAGGGUCUGGGGCAGGGGAUAGAGAAAAUGACUAGCAACUAGCAGCACAUGAUGUUUAAACAUAAGAUUUAAAGAAAUGCAAGGCACAAACAAUUUGAAGACUUUUUUUAAGUUUUUAAAAUCUUCACAAAAUAAAAAGGAAUUGGACAAUGCACUUUAAAAACUAGAAGACGUUUCACUGAAAACAGCAUCUCCUAAUUCAUUUCAUGGCUUAGAUAGUAAUAGAAAAUUAUUUUAUUCUAAUUCCAUACUUUAUCAACUAAUUUUAAUUAUUUUAUAAUUACCCAAAAUAUGUCAUGUAGAAUGAAAAUAAAAGAAAAUGAAAACAGUUAUAUCAAGGCCAAGUCAGUUGUAUGUUUACUGGCUAUUUAGAAAUUUCUAAAUACGUGUAUAUUUAGAAAUGACUAUAUAGAUACUAUUUGGGUAAUGUUAGGGAUGGAAAGUUUAUGUCCCCCCAAAAUUUGUAUGUUGAAAUCCUAAGCCCAAUGUGAUGGUUUUAAGGGGCGGGGCCUUUGUGAGGUGAUUAGGUCAUGAGAGUGGAGACUUCAUGGAUGAGAAUAGUAAGUAUCCUUAUAAAAGAGACUCCAGAGGCUGGGUGCAGUGUCUCAUGCCUGUAAUCCCAGCACUUUGGGAGGCCGAGGCAGGUGGAUCGCCUGGGGUCAGGAGUUCGAGACCAGCCUGGCCAACAUGGCAAAACCCUGUCUCUACUAAAAAUACAAAAAUUAGCCAGGUGUUGUGGUGGGCACCUGUAAUCCCAGCUACUUAGGAGGCUGAGGCCUGAGAAUUGCUUGAACCCAGGAGGUGGAGGUUGCAGUGAACUGAGAUCGCGCCACUGCACUCCAGCCUGGGGGACGGAGUGAGACUGUCUCCAAAAAAUAAAAUACAAUAAAAGAGACUCCAAAGAACUUUCUAGCCCUCUUGCCACCACCUAAGGAUGCAAAGAGUUGACAGCAACCUGGAAGAGCCCUCACCAGAACUCGACCAUUCUGGCACUCUGACUUCCAGCCUCCACUGUGAGAAAUAAAUUUCUAUUGUUUAUGAGCCACUCAGCAUAUGGUACUUUGUAGCCCUAGACAGGCUAAGACAGGUAAUUAGCAAUUUUAGGUGAUUUUCAUCAUCAAAAUUUUCAUGAUGGCAUUUUGGAGAAUUCACAUAAACCACUCUGUUACCCUCCUAAAAGUAUUGCUCAAAUACUGAAUUAUAUUUAUGCUUGCCAAAGUUAAUUUUUUUCCAACAAGUAACACUAGCCACUUCAUUUUGUGCUUUUGAUACAAAAGCAUUUCCCAAUCCAGCGGCUUUCAUCUUCUGGCCUGGUUGGCAAAAGUGUAACUCACUUCUGCACCCUCUCUGAACCCUAGUCUCCUCCUCAAAUGUAAAACAGUAAUAAACCUUUCUUACCCAGGAAGCCAUUAUAAGGAUUAUAAUCAACAUAAGAUAUAAUUCUUUAAUUAUCAAAGCAGUUGCUGGCAUGUGGCAGGCAUUCAACAGAAACCGUGUUGCUAUGUUAUUUUUAUUGUUACCAUUAAUAUUCCUAUUGGGAUUGAAACCCUUAUGUCAUAUCAAAACUUUUCCAUCUUUGACAAAUGAGACAUAUUAGGAUAGUAUCUUAAUAAUAUGUAAGAGUUUAGUGCUUGAGCUAUUCAAUUAUUAAACUUUGCUUCCAAGACCACAGACUGGUGGUAUAUACUGUGUGCGUGUGUGUGUGUGUGUGUGUUUGUGUGUGUGUAUGAGAAAGAAUAUGCUGUUCUUUUCUUCUUCUGGGUAGAAGUUGUUGAGCCUU
rnacentral:lncRNA from 1 species